AUCUUUGUGCAGAAGCAAUAUUGUAGUUUGUAAGGUUUAUCUGAGGUGUGAUCAUUGCUAGUUGAAAGCUUUGCCUAAUAAACUGCAUGGGUGACUUGAGAAAUAGUCAUCUGUGGCAAUUUUUGGGGUGUUAAGAC